CUGCAGCUGCUGCCACGUGGCCUUGGGGACCAGCCCACAGCCACCCCCCGCCCCUGCCCCUCGCUGAGAGGCGUUGGGCCUGGUCAGAAAGACUGCGGGCGAGACCUCAGGCCGUCGGCCUCUGCCGCUCCGCCCGAGACUGGGCAUGAUGUUUUCAAGGUUCAUCUGACUUGUAGCACGUCAGUACAGUCUUGCUCAGCAUGAUGACAUUUCGAUCAAAGAUGGAUGAUAUAUACAAAGGUGGUCCCAUAAGGAAUGUCAGGAAUCUCUUCUUUGGGACUGCCAUGGAGAUGGAGUUCUUGUUUCAGUACUGGCUUGUACCCAGCACAGGAAAAGUUGUACCCAAGUCAAAUAUCUGAGUCCUGCACCCUACGGCCCCACCGUCCCACCGCCCCUCUGCCCCUCGGCCCCUCUACCCUUCUGCCCCAGCCCCUUGUGAGCUGCAGCGCCUCAUCGAAAGCAGCUUAUAGACAGAUUGAUUUAGAGUAAAUUCAACCACAUGACUGCAACAAUACUAUGAAGAGGAAUAGUUUCGAUCUCUGGUUCAGCUGUUGCAGAAGUAAUACGUAAGUGAUAAGAUUCAAAUUCACUGAAUUUUAAACAUAAUUCUCAGCCUUGGUUAAUCGAAUAGGGAAUACAUGCGUCCCUUCUUUCAUAAUAGAUGUAGACUGUAUGCAAAUGAAAUUUGUCAAACUCAGAAUUUAAAGACCUUGUUUUAUGCCUGUAAUUUCCUUAAAAAUAGCACAGCUUAGGCAGUGUGCCAGUAAUAAAAUGCAUGUGCCAGUCAUGGUCCCUUUAAGCUCCUCCAGGGGUGACUGGUUGCUCUGUCCAUGGAUGGUGAGCUAGUGUUCAACUCAGGAAGCCAUUUUCCAGAGAAGGCCACUGCAACGGCUUCCAUUGUCCCAUCUUGAUCAACACCUGAAACACUGUUAAUUCC
rnacentral:lncRNA from 1 species